AUGUUCCAGAAGAUUUGAAGAAAUCUAGAGAAUAUUUCUUAAUUUGACCUAGAAUAAAUUUUAGCUCAGUUUUCAUGCUUUGAAUCAUGGCUUUUUCUCUGAGACAUUUAAUUUUAUAAAUUGUUUCUCUCUCCUUAUUUUAACUAAAAUGUGAAGUUAAUUUGUAACUCAUGUGCUAUAAGGUUAGCAUAGCCAUUGUUUUUAUUUCUUUCUACUGGUGGGAAGUUUGGAAGAUGUUCUUAAAAAAAUGGAGAUGAGUGAGAAGAACUCCGGUUGGGAAGAUCUGAUUUUUAUUCCACCUGGUAAAAGCCAGUCUCAACAUAUUCAAGAAGUGGCGAACGCUUGAUGAAUUUGAUGCGAAACUUGAUGAGUUUGAAUUUGAAAUUUUGAUGAAUUUGGUGUGGUAUAGAUUUCCUUUUGAAUAUUAAAUUUGGUUAAUCCUCUAUUAUGUAUGGAAUUAAAUUAUUGGGGUUGAAUUAUACUUGGUUCAUAUGGAAUUUGUAUUACAUUUAGAAUUGGACGUUGAAUAUAAAUAUUUUGGAUGGUUGGAAGUGAAAUGUGUGCACGUUGUU